AUCGCGUUACUUGGAGAUUCACACGAUUGAGCACACGAAGCAAGUGAAAGGCAUUAGAUGUAGUGAGUUGGAAGGUCUGCAGAUAACCGCACAUAUCUAUUGUUCAUUUAAAAGGAUUGUUUUAAGGCAUUGAAUCAAUAUGGUGUUGAAACUAUAUGCUGUGUCUGAUGGUCCACCAUCGCUGUCAGUGCGGCAGGCACUAGCUGCACUGGACAUACCAUUUGAACUGAAAGACACAAAUUUUGGAGCUGGCGAACAUAUGGCAGAGGAAUAUGCGAAGAUGAAUCCACAGAAAGAAAUUCCUGUUCUGGACGACGACGGCUUCUACUUGAGUGAAAGUAACGCAAUUUUACAAUACCUGUGUGAUAAAUAUCAACCUCAAUCUGAAUUGUAUCCAAAAGACCCGAAAGCAAGGGCGAUCGUAAAUCAUCGGUUAUGUUUCAACUUAUCAACGUACUACGCAAACAUAUCGGCAUAUACAAUGGCGCCAAUAUUUUUUGACUACCAGCGAACAGAUUUGGGCCUGAAGAAGGUUCAUAUCGCUCUUGAUGUUUUCGAAACAUAUUUACAGCGAUUGGGAACCAAAUAUGCUGCAGCAAAUCAGCUCACCAUUGCUGAUUUUCAACUAAUUAAUUCCACUAUGACUUUGGAAGCUAUUGAUUUCGAUUUCUCCAAGUAUCAAAAGCUGACGUGACACCAGUCAGCAUGGGACCAACUUGGUGCUUAUUCUUUAGAGCUGCACCUGGGUACUCUUGCACAAAGGUUGGGAGACCACGAUAGUCCUCUUUGCCUUCUACACGAACACCCGAACCUAUACAAUUGUAUCGAUAAAUUAAUGAAUAGAAGUACAGAAGAAACUGCAGUAUAAACCUACAUUCCUGGUACAUUACCUGGUGAAAGAGGAGCUCCAGACAAAGCAGCUACGCCUGUAGCUGCUCGACCCUCCCUUGGAGUCUCUGAUGAUAAGCCCAGGAGUGAUGCAGCCCUACCACCAGUGCCUUGCCCCAUAACUACCAUUCGGGAGCGAUCACCACCAAAGAAUUCUAUGUAAUCAUUUAUCUGCAAUUGUAAAUUUGAACUGUCGUUAUUGACCGAAGUUUUAACUUUUACAACCCUAACAACUAUUUUUAUACCAAUAAAUAUGUUUUAUGUUGAAAAAAAUAAGAAAA